rnacentral:rRNA from 1 species
UACAGAGGAUGCAAGCGUUAUCCGGAAUGAUUGGGCGUAAAGCGUCUGUAGGUGGCUUUUUAAGUCCGCCGUCAAAUCCCAGGGCUCAACUCUGGACAGGCGGUGGAAACUACCAAGCUAGAGUUCGGCAGAGGGAAGCGGAAUUUCCGGUGUAGCGGUGAAAUGCGUAGAUAUCGGAAGGAACAUCAGUGGCGAAAGCGGCUUCCUGGACCAGAACUGACGAUCAGGCUCGAAAGCGUGGGGAGCAAACAGG